AGAAUUCUGGCUCUCAUUUUCUCCAUCUUUCUACUAUAAAACUCCCAAUCUUUUCUAGACAAAUGGAGAUCUCUAGCUUAGGUGUAGAAGAAAACAUUCAGUGGGCUCCUUAUCCCAUUUGUCCUAUGUUUUGCAGGUCUCACCAGCUAAAAGCCUAAAACAGAUGGUGAGAAACCACCUAACACUC